CUGCCGGAUCCUGCACCUCAGCGAGCACCAACUGCUUUUCCCAGGGCUCUCUCGUUUAUGCCUGUGGUCUCCCGGCCGGCCCAGCUUUAUCUCCUGCCUUAAGAUUAACAGGUACCAGCCUCACCCUAACUACAAGCAACUGCUGACCUGGACAGAACACAUGAAAUAAAUGUUUUCAGAAGUUGGACAACAGACAGUGCACAACUGUGAUCCCUGAGAAAAGGGAAGCCAGCGAGGUUCAUCUCCAAACCACUGCUUGGAAGGAUGGGAUAUGCUGGCUUUUUGAGAGUGUGAGCCAAAGAAGAGAGGGAGAGUUUGUGUGUGUGCCUGUGUAGGAACUGAAUUAACUGGAACUUGUCUACUCAAAAUAGCCAAUUAAUUAGAAUUUUUGUGCACCUGAAUUUUAGAAGAAAUGGUAGCAAGCGAGGACUUAACAACACCGAACUCUUCUACCAGACCCUUCUGUAUGCGGUCUUGCAGUUAAUCUUCACACCUAGCCUACAAGGAGGUUUUCCCAAGCUCUUUUUACAGACACAGGAACUGAGACCCAAGGAGUUUGAAACAGAGGCUGGCAAAUUAUGGUCCAUGGGCCAAACCUGUUCCACUACCUGCUUUUG